ensembl:lncRNA
UGGCUGAUUAAAUCACCUUUAUUAAAAGAUACAAGAUGCUGGAAUACCAACACUUUAGAAUGCAGAAGUACUUUACACACAGGCCCAGGCUUGUGUCCAAUAUGGCCCCUUAUUCACUAUAUAGUGCACUACUUUACACACAGGCCCAGGCUUGUGUCCAAUAUGGCCCCUUAUUCACUAUAUAGUGCACUACUUUACACACAGGGCCAGGCUUGUGUCCAAUAUGGCCCCUUAUUCACUAUAUAGUGCACUACUUUACACACAGGGCCAGGCUUGUGUCCAAUAUGGCCCCUUAUUCACUAUAUAGUGCACUACUUUACACACAGGCCCAGGCUUGUGUCCAAUAUGGCCCCUUAUUCACUAUAUAGUGCACUACUUCACACACAGGCCCAGGCUUGUGCCCAACCAAACUCACAUAGAGGCUGUAUCCAAUAUGGCCCCUUAUUCACCAUGUAGUGCACUACUUUAGACCAGAGCCCUAUUCCCUAUAUAGGGCACUACUUUAGACCAGAGCCCUAUUCCAUAUAUAGUGCACUACUUUAGACCAGAGCCCUAUUCCCUAUAUAGUGCACUACUUUAGACCAGAGCCUUAUUCCAUAUAUAGUGCACUACUUUAGACCAGAGCCCUAUUCCCUAGAUAGUGCACUACCUUUAACUACAGCAUUAUUCCAUAUAUAGUGCACUACUUUAGACCAGAGCCCUAUUCCCUAUAUAGUGCACAACAUUAUACUACAGCCCUAUUCCCUAUAUAGUGCACUACUUUAUACUACAGCCCUAUUCCCUAUAUAGUGCACUACUUUUAACCAGAGCCCUGAAUAGACCAGACACCUAAUCAUCUAUAUACAUCUUAAUCUAGCAUUGUGUUUCUCCUAUUAAUCACCCUGUGAAUGACUCUCUAUGGGUCCAGGUUAACACACUAUAAAGGGGAACAGAAUGACUCUCUAUGGGUCCAGGUUAACACACUAUAAAGGGGAACAGAAUGACUCUCUAUGGGUCCAGGUUAACACUCUAUAAAGGGAACAGAAUGACUCUCUAUGGGUCCAGGUUAACACUCUAUAAAGGGGAAUAGAAUUACUCUCUAUGGGUCCAGGUUAACACUAUAUAAAGGGGAACAGAAUGACUCUCUAUGGGUCCAGGUUAACACUCUAUAAAGGGAACAGAAUGACUCUCUAUGGGUCCAGGUUAACACACUAUAAAGGGAACAGAAUGACUCUAUGGGUCCAGGUUAACACUCUAUAAGGGGAACAGAAUGACUCUCUAUGGGUCCAGGUUAACACAUUAUAAAGUGAAUAAGAGUCCAUUUGGAACACAGCUACAGUAGUAAUAACAAAGGUAUUUUUUGAUCAAAAUCCCUGUAAAUAUCUGCGGUAUCCUUGCCAACCCAUUUCAAUCUGCAGGUUGGUUUUUUUCUUUUCAAAAUCACAACGUGACAGUAAACCAGUCUUUAAAGAAAAAAGAGAUCUGAAACCAUGCAACACUCAACAAGCCCACGUUACAGUUACUUCUGGGUUCGCCACCGUUUUGAAUGGCAUCAUCAAUAUCAUCAUCAUCAUCAUCAUCAUCAUCAUCAUCAAUAUCAUCAUCAUCAUCAUCAAUAUCAUGAUCAUCGUCAUCAAUAUCAUGAUCAUCAUCAUCAAUAUCAUCAUCAUCAAUAUCAUGAUCAUCAUCAUCAAUAUUAUCAUCAUCAAUAUCAUGAUCAUCAUCAAUAUCAUCAUCAUCAUCAUCAAUAUCAUGAUCAUUAUCAAUAUCAUGAUCAUCAUCAACAAUAUCAUGAUCAUCAUCAAUAUCAUCAUCAUCAAUAUCAUGAUCAUCAUCAAUAUCAUGAUCAUCAUCAUCAUCAUCAAUAUCAUCAUCAUCAUCAUCAAUAUCAUCAUCAUCAAUAUCAUGAUCAUCAUCAAUAUCAUGAUCAUCAUCAUCAUCAUCAAUAUCAUCAUCAUCAUCAUCAAUAUCAUCAUCAUCAACACUUACAACACCAUAAGACUUCACACAACAGUGACAAGGACGUUUUGACGUUUUUUUUUUUGGGGGAGACAGAAUCGAUCAAAUCUCGAAGACCUCAUCCACUGAGUUUCCAUGACAGGACAAAACGGGUCACGUCGUAGAUAGAACGGGGUUCUCUUCUGUUUCAUUAGUUCGUUACCCGAGUCCAUCGCUGCCUUUAGGCCUCAUGCUUGGUGUUAAAGGGGGACAGUGACCCCGAGCAACAGAUAUACACUACACUUCAGCAAACUAACCACUGGCACCAAACACUAACCUGCUGCUCCCAGAUCAGUGUCUAACCUCCGUGUUGGCACCAAACACUAACCUGCAGCUCCCAGAUCAGUGUCUAACCUCCGUGUUGGCACCAAACACUAACCUGCUGCUCCCAGAUCAGUGUCUAACCUCCGUGUUGGCACCAAACACUAACCUGCAGCUCCCAGAUCAGUGUCUAACCUGCUGCUCCCAGAUCAGUGUCUAACCUGCUGCUCCCAGAUCAGUGUCUAACCUGCUGCUCCCAGAUCAGUGUCUAACCUGCUGCUCCCAGAUCAGUGUCUAACCUGCUGCUCCCAGAUCAGUGUCUAACCUCCGUGUUGGCACCAAACACUAACCUGCAGCUCCCAGAUCAGUGUCUAACCUGCUGCUCCCAGAUCAGUGUCUAACCUGCUGCUCCCAGAUCAGUGUCUAACCUGCU